UUCCCAGUGAUGUUUUACUAUCUGUCAAAAUUGAUGUUUUUUUGUGCGUUUAUUUUUAUUCAACAAUCAUUAUUAUAAUUGUUUAAAAAAAAAAAUAGUUUUUUCUUGUAAAACUAGUUUCAUUAAACUGUGAAAUUAUUAAAAAAAUAGAGAAUGUAAAAAAGUUAUAUGAAUUUCACAACACAUGAAAUUGUAUAUUAAGAUAACCUCAAAAUUUUUCUAAUAUUGUUGAUAUAUUUUUAUUUGUUAUUUUAUCAAUAAUUAUUAAUUAUCGAUAUUUUAAUUUACAUUAAUAAAUCAUGUGCUCACCAAUGGAUUCACCAGGAAUUCGUGCUCUGGAAGCAGCGAGAAAUAUUAAAGAUUUGGCAAUAUUCAAAAAACCAAUUGGUGUUGCCAAAAAGAGUAAUUGUUAUCGUGUUAAAAUUUUAGAUGAAGACACUUACAUUGGCAAUAUGGGAAACAUAAUUGAAAGGGAUUUCUUUCCUGAUUUAAAGAAAUUGAAAGCCCAAAAUGAAUAUUUAGAGGCCUUGGAACAAAACGACGUGAAACGAAUGCGAGAAUUAUAUGAAAAAUAUAGUUCAGGUAGACCAGUUACAGAACGACCUGCAAGUCCUGCUACAUUUGAAACACCACUUCGUAGAAAUGAUGACAAUUCAGGAACUUCAACUGACCUACCUUCUAAAGAUGAAUCUUUCAUAAAUUUAGCAAAAUCCGAAAUUACCAAUGAUUGUAAAAUUGGAUUAGAUAAUUAUCUUAGAUCUCAUACAAGUGAAGAUAAUGCCAGUUUUCAGGAAAUUAUGGCCGAAGUUGAAAAACGACAUAAAUUAAAAUACGCCUGGUUAUAUAAAAAUGAGGAAACAGCAAAAAUUCUCGCGUUAGAAAAAGAAAAAUCAUUAGCCAUUGAGACAAAUGAAAAACCAAAAGAAUUGGAAAUGUGGAAUUAUACAAAUAAAAAUUAUAUUAUGUACGUUCCCGAUGGUGUGGAAUUAACAACAGAUGAAAAAAUUGAAAUGGCAAAACAAAAACAAGAAGUUAUUCACACAAAUACACGACUCACUGUUAAUCCCUUUAAUGAACAACAAAAUAAAGAGACAAUCAGCGAAUUAGCAAAAUCACAAUCAAAAGUAAAUGAUGGUAAAAUAGGUGUUGAUGGUAAGGAGGUCGUUAAAAAUCAAACACCUAGAAUAAAUGGAUUUAGUAUUGUCGCAACACCAAGUCCACGACCUGGUGAAUGUGAAAGUCCACUUAUGACAUGGGGUCAAAUAGAAGGUACACCAUUUAGAUUAGAUGGAGGUGAUACACCACUAUUAAGGGCAAAUCAAGGACUAUCAUUUAGAAUGGCAGAACCACCAAAGAGAGAACAAAUUGCCUUUCAACUCGCUGAAAAAGCUGGCGAAAGACAUAGGGAUAGAAAAAUCAAAGCUUUGGAAGCUGCAAGAAGAUCAUUGGCAACACCAUCACCAAAAUCAACAAUUGAUCGUUUAAGUACAAUGUCACCAGCAGCUCGUAGAUUAGCAACUCAAAAAUUAAAAAUUAUUGGAACUCCAUCGCCAAUUUCUUCGAGAUCAAGAUCAAAAUCACGAACACCGUCUAUUGGUGUACGAACACCAGGUACACCGGGUACAUUAAUUUUGGGAAAAAAUCGACAAUCUUCGCAAAAUAUUGCAAAAAUGAAUAUUGUUUCAACAGAUUCUCAAGAACCUGUCUCAACAGACAAUUUACUUAAACUUCCUAUUCAAAGACAAAGGGCUUCAGAUUUUUUCAAUAAUUGAAAAAAUUAACGAUAUUUAUAUUGAUGGUUUAUCGGCGGGUUUGAAUUCAAAUUUUAAUAUUUGUGGAUUAAAAUGUGGACUUGGAAUUAAUGGCGCCAUUCCUAAUGCAUGUCAAUAUUCUAAAUCAUCUGGAACACCUUCAUUACGAAAUCGAAAUUCUUCAUUAAAAUUGUCACAAUUCUUUGAGACAUUAAGAGGCUUAUUAAAAUAUAAGGAAAAUUUACUGAAACAAUUAUUAUCCAGUUUUCAGUCACAAGGUUCAUAUCAAAAUAGUCCUUUGUUAACAGUGAAUUUGACGCCGACAAUUGAACAAAUAAAAUUGUCAAAUAAACCAAAAGGAUCAUCUCGUAGAUAUUCACCUCGUAAAAAUGAAAUUCGAAUUUUACCUAGUCAUUCAUGUGAUUGUUUAGAAGAAUGUUGUUUUAAUUAUGGCAAUAAUUACAACCCAAUGGUUUAGUUUUAAAAUUCGAAUUCAUCAAUUUUUCAACACCAGUAAUUAAAAUAUUAAUUAAUAAAAAUUAAAUUAAUGUUAUAUACUCGUAUAUUAUAAAAUAUAUAUAGGAAAUUUUGAUAAUUAAUAUUAUUCUGUCAAAUAUAUUAUGAUCAACGAAAAAUUUUGUAUACAUUGUAUUAUCAAAAUAUUAUAUGUAUAAAAACUGAAUUUAUUUUUAAUAAAUAUACAUUUUUAUUCAA